CCGUUUUGUUCCUACCAAGAAGUACAGAAUAUUCUGUACUUCUUGGUAGGAAUAUAGAAUAUUCCUGGUGCUUUAGGAGUGUUUUCAGCCUGGGUUACCAGCACAAAGAAAGGAGUCGACUGUUGAAGGGCGACUCUGGCAGCACCGGAGUGAAGGGCGACUCUGGCAGCACCGGAGUGAAGGGCAGCACCGGAGUGAAGGGCGACUCUGGCAGCACCGGAGUGAAGGGCGACUCUGGCAGCUACUGACUGACGGGCGGCUCUGGCGGCUCCGGACAGGCGGGAGAACCUGGAGGGAGGAGACGGAGAGACAGCCUGGUGCGUGGUGCUGCCACAGGACCCACCAGGCUGGGGAGACCUACAGGAGGCCUGGUGCGUGGAGGAGGCACCAGAUGGACCGGGCUGUGGGGGAGCACUGGAGCUCUGGUGCGCAGCCUUGGCACCACUCCCCAGGCUGGAUGACCACUUUAGCCCGGACCCUCCAGAGUGCAGGCACAGGUUGAACCGGGCUGUUGGUAUAUGUACCUUUUGACGCAUCUCUACACUGUAAAACAACAACAACCUCCAAAUGAUGUAGAUCCAGUGCAUUCGGAAAGUAUUCAGACCCCUUCUUCACGUUACAGCCCUUACAUGGAUUAAAUCACUUUUUUCCCCUUUCUCUCUAUUUCUACCAAUGGUGUGCCUGUCCUAGACUACAGUGAGUCAGUCUUUUGCCUUUACCAUGUAACCAGCUGAAAUGAAAGCACUUACUCAGCAGCUACACGAGAAGGAUCGAAUAAGGAAAGCAGUUAACUCAGCAGCUACACAAGAAGGAUAGAACAAGGAAAGCACUUACUCAGCAGCUACACGAGAAGGAUUGAAAAAGGAAAGCACUUACUCAGCAGCUACACGAGAAGGAUAGAACAAGGAAAGCACUUACUCAGCAGCUACACUAGAAGGAUAGAACAAGGAAAGCACUUACUCAGCAGCUACACUAGAAGGAUAGAACAAGGAAAGCACUUACUCAGCAGCUA
ensembl:lncRNA